rnacentral:rRNA from 1 species
UACGGAGGGGGCUAGCGUUGUUCGGAAUUACUGGGCGUAAAGCGCGCGUAGGCGGCUUUGUAAGUUAGAGGUGAAAGCCCAGGGCUUAACCCUGGAAUUGCCUUUAAGACUGCAUCGCUAGAAUUGUGGAGAGGUAAGUGGAAUUCCGAGUGUAGAGGUGAAAUUCGUAGAUAUUCGGAAGAACACCAGUGGCGAAGGCGACUUACUGGACACAUAUUGACGCUGAGGUGCGAAAGCGUGGGAAGCAAACAGG